rnacentral:tRNA from 1 species
GCGCCUGUAGCUCAGUCGGAUAGAGCAACUGCCUUCUAAGCAGUCGGUCCGGGGUUCGAAUCCCUGCAGGCGCGCCA